CACGUAGGCGGAUAGGUCAGUCAGAUGUGAAAGCCCGGAGCUUAACUCCGGAACUGCAUUUGAUACUACUUGUCUUGAGUAUGGUAGAGGGGGGUGGAAUUCCCGGUGUAGAGGUGAAAUUCGUAGAUAUCGGGAGGAACACCAGAGGCGAAGGCGACCCCUGGGCCAUAACUGACGCUGAGGUGCGAAAGCGUGGGGAGCAAACA
rnacentral:rRNA from 1 species